rnacentral:lncRNA from 1 species
AUUCUUAAAGUUUUAGAUCAAGGAAGAAGAUGGAUCUUCUUUCUUGUGCGCAACCUUGAAGAAGAAGUUCUUCUUCUAGAUUUUUUUUAUUUUUUUAAAAUAAAAAUUAGAUUAAAUUUAAUUUUUAAUAUAAAAAUUUAGAGAAGAAAUAUCAAAAAAAAUUGGUUGGGCAUUUGGGGCUUCCUUGAGUUCUAGAUCAAGAAGAAAAAGGGAGAAGAAGAGAGAAGAACAGUUCUUAUCUUGGAUCCCUCUUUUAAAUUUUUUUAGAUCUUAAGAUUUUAUUUGAUUUUUAGCAUAAAAAAUUAGAUUAGAUUUGAUUUUUAUCAUAAAAAAUUAGAGAAGAAAGUUCUUCCUAAGGGCAUGAAUGAAAGAGAGAAAGGUUCUCUCUUAUGCAUAAAAAAUUGAGA